AGUAUUAGUAAUAUGUUUACGGUGCUAGGAGUCAGCACUUGUGCUCGAAAGAGCAUAGUGACAUUGUCCAAUUUUUUUUUGCUAUGUUGUGUUAUGCUUUUGGGCACCACAUUAAAGAGACAGUUGCUGAAAUUAAUUAUCUUAAAAGUAAAUAACUUUACAACCGGUAGCAUUGGAUCCCUUGGCACAUCAUUCGAUGAAGAACGUUGCAAAAUGCGAUAAGUGAUGUGAUAUGCAAGUCCAAAACUUAUACGUGAAUCAUCGAGUCUUUGAACGCAUUGCACCCUCCCCACAAGGGAGAGGUAUGUCCCUGUGAGAGCACCUAUACUAUUCGAGAGUCUGCCUUUGCAUAGGCAUGAUCCGAGUUUGGAACUCAUGGCCAGUCUAUCGUAGACAUGAUCACGUUUUCUUAGAUAUGCCGAUACAGCUGGAGCUUGUUGUGAGUGGCAAGUCUCUCAAGCCAAGGCACUUUGCCUCAGACUAUAUGUCUGAUAGCAGUCCUCUAGCCUUGGCUAGUUGUAAUUAACUUUUGGUGCCUCACUGUGGCAAGACAACCCGCUAGACUUAAGCAUAUUAAUCAGCGGAGGAAAAGAAACUAACUAGGAUUCCCUUAG
rnacentral:rRNA from 1 species